AUUCUCCAUCAUAGUUACUGUAUAUAUAUAUAUUUUUAGUUUUAGACUUUCUACUUGAUACUCUUUCAAAUCAAAGUCACCUUUUCUGGGUUCCCACUUCCCAGCUGAAAUUUCCAAGCUCUACGUUUUUCUCUUUUCAGACAGGAAACAUGGUUUAGGAGUCUGCGCCCAAUACUUUCACCAUCCUAAGUCCAUACGUCUUUGUGGGUUUGUUUUUGUCAUCAUUUCCCACAACCACUUCUCACUUACAGAGAACUUAACACUUGACAAUGCGUUCAAACUUUUUUUUUUUUUUUGGUAGAAAUAAUAUUUACUUGUUUCUGACAGUCUGGGACCACAGGAACUGAAGUUCCAGACUUGAGGCUCCCAGAGUCCCCCUCGUGCAAGCUGUCUCACACACCGGAGGCUCCCAGACUCCCCUGCGUGUUAGCAUCACCUGGGGAGCCUCCCAAUCGACCUCCACCUGUGUCCCGCCCCCAGGGAUGGGGACUUCAUUAGUCUGUGGUGCUGCCUGCAGUUGGGAAUUUUUAAAAGCUCCCCGGAGAUUCUAAUGGGCAGACAGACAUAUUUGGGAAGCUCUGCCCUGAGAGCAAAGUCCUUAAGCACCUGCACUUAACGUGCGGGUGUUUAUCAGGCUCUCCACCCGGCCGGCCCUUUUAUCUCUUUGGCCCAGACAGGCUGCCAAAUACCACAGCUCCAAGCUGCGGCCGUGGCCGUGGCUUCUCGAGCAGAGCAAAACCAGCUUUGGGAGCUUGCUUCCCGGAUUCUCCGAAAUGUUGGCAUCGUAAUCCGGCACGAUCUGAUCAGCUUUUUGGUGCUUCCAGGAAGAAAAAAAAAAUGUAUUUAUGUAUAUUUACAAAAGGGACUGCCCAGCUGCCGCUUUGGGACUCCACAGAGCAUGAACAACCGAGUCAUUGCCUGAGAUCCUGGACUAGCCUGAGAACAUGGGUCUGUAUUCAAGAUCCCCCAGUGCUGAUGGAGCCCUCUGGAGCUUGGAAAUCCAGGUUGACCACCUGCAAACAUGAUGGGAUGACUCUGAGCUGAGGUUGAUUGGGACGCCCUCCCUGAGCCCCUGCCUCACCAAGUGUGCGAGUCGGAGAUGAAUUCCCAGACACCAGAACGAAAACAUCGCAAGCAAGUAUGAGCGGAUGUUGUCUCUGAUCGACAGACCUUGGUGUUGUUUUUUCUUUUUCUUAACUCUUUUUGGGGCAGCUUGCCUGGUUUGGGGAGUGCAAAGGCUUGAAGACUGACUUCUAAGGGCUUAUAAUCUAUUUAGGGGAAAUAUAAGAUGUACACAGGACAUGAGACAGUGUUUUGUAAAUGCCAAAUGUCUGGUGAAUGAAAAACGAAGGUUAUAGGAAAAAUGAAGGUUAUAGCUCUAUUGACAUUUGCAAUAGAGCUAAUAAGCUAAAACUUGGAGCUCCCAGGAUUGCUGGACAGGGUAUAUUUAAGCUGAUUGUUAUGGCGUGAGUCUCCGGGAGCACAGAGGAGUGAGAGGAAUUCACUGCAAAUAGAUGGAAUGGCGCACACACACACACACACACACACACACAUCCAGGAGUGCGAGAGCCCACAUUUGCCUAGAACCUAAGUAAACCAUUUGAACUGAGUGGAAAUCUUGUUAGGGAACUAGUACAAAAGCCUCCUCCUCCAUCACCGUGGCCAUUAAGGGCACAGCCCACCCUGUGUAGUUGAAAAUUCAUGUAUAACUUUUGACUCCCCACAGUGUAACUGCUAAAAGCCUACCGUUGUUGACCAGAAGCCUUACUGAUCACGUAGACUGUCGAUGAACACAUAUUUUGUGUGUUCUAU